AGCUUUAGGUGAUGAAUCUAUUACUUAUUAACAAGAGGUUAUGCUCACUUGUGUAAGUAGAAGGUGUGAAAGCUUUCUUCAUUUUUAAACACUAUGACCUACUAAAGAGGAAUGUAAAAAGAUAAAGACUGCUACAAAUGCCGCAUUUCAUGGAAUGAGGCCAACUGAGAACCACCAGAAGUGCAAAGACAUGAAUUCAUGGGGAGAUGGCAGAAAGAUGACACAGGAGAAACAGACUGUGGAACUGCCUACCCGAGCCUCCUACCUCCCUACAAAGCCACAUUUGGAGCUCCAAGGACACACCACACACAGAAGAUGCGCAGAGGAUUUUGUACAAAUAUGUGAUGGCUUGAAAUCUCCAUUUUUAAAAGGAACUUAAAGACUGUCUUCAGUUACUUGUAAGAGAAUGAACAUAAGCAUCAGCGUCUAGCCUUGUUUUUAUGUUCGUGAGCAUUUUGCCUGCAUGUAUCUCUGUGUACCUUGUGUGUACCUGGUGUCCAUAGAGGCCAGAGGAACUGGAGUUUCCAGAGAUAAAAAUUUUAAAACAUAUUAUUAUAUUUGUAGGUGAAAACUUCUUUGAAUUACAAAAUAAGACUAGAAAAAAAUCCAACCCAUAAUUGCAAACAUAAAGAUGC
rnacentral:lncRNA from 1 species